AGGAGAUGUUAUCUGAAUCUGCAAGCUCUCAGGAGCAGCUGAGGCAGGAGCUGCAAACGCUCAAGCAGGGGCCCCUCAGGGAGGGCACCUCUGGUGCUCAGCACUUGGGCUCCUGGCAACACCGUGGGGGAGGGAAAGCAGCUCCGGAUUAGAGGAGAUGAAUGCUGGAUCUGCAGGCGGCCUGAAGGCCUCCUUUGCACCGCAGCACUGUGCCCAGGACCCUGCUGCUGCCAUCCAUCUAAUUCCUCU